GUCUGUGCCAUACCAUCCUGAACAUGCCUGAUCUCGUGUGAUCUCAGAAGCUAAGCAGGGUUGUGCCUGAUUAGUAUUUGGAUGGGAGACCACCCGGGAAUACUGGGUGCUGUAGGCU
ensembl:rRNA 5S_rRNA 5S ribosomal RNA